rnacentral:rRNA from 1 species
CCUACGGGAGGCAGCAGUAGGGAAUAUUGGGCAAUGGAGGCAACUCUGACCCAGCCAUGCCGCGUGCAGGAAGAAGGCGUUAUGCGUUGUAAACUGCUUUUAUAUAGGAAGAAAUAGACCUUGCGAGGUAAGUUGACGGUACUAUAUGAAUAAGCACCGGCUAACUCCGUGCCAGCAGCCGCGGUAAUACGGAGGGUGCAAGCGUUGUCCGGAUUUAUUGGGUUUAAAGGGUGCGUAGGCGGUUUAUUAAGUCAGUGGUGAAAGACGGUCGCUCAACGAUUGCAGUGCCAUUGAUACUGGUAGACUUGAGUGGGAUUGAGGUAGCUGGAAUGGAUAGUGUAGCGGUGAAAUGCAUAGAUAUUAUCCAGAACACCAAUUGCGUAGGCAAGUUACUAAGUCUCAACUGACGCUGAGGCACGAAAGUGUGGGGUAUCAAACAGGAUUAGAUACCCUGGUAGUCCACACUGUAAACGAUGAUAACUAACUGUUGGCUUUCGGAUNGUGUAGAGAGAAAGUAGUUAAGUUAGUUCCACCGUCGGGUAAGGUACGGUCCGGCGACGGUAGUUAAACGUUAAAGUUAAGUUAAGUUAGUUACGGACGGUUGAGACGUUAGCCGACGGACGACCGACCGACGGGAGGAGGAGG